UACAGAGGUCCCAACCGUUGUUCGGAUUCAUUGGGCGUAAAGGGUGCGUAGGCGGCGGGGCAAGUCGGGUGUGAAAUCUCGGAGCUUAACUCCGAAACUGCAUUCGAUACUGCCGUGCUUGAGGACUGGAGAGGAGACUGGAAUUUACGGUGUAGCGGUGAAAUGCGUAGAUAUCGUAAGGAAGACCAGUGGCGAAGGCGGGUCUCUGGACAGUUCCUGACGCUGAGGCACGAAGGCCAGGGGAGCAAACGGG
rnacentral:rRNA from 1 species